AGACUAUUGCUCAAAUUAUAAUUUAAAUUACAACUCAUAUUACAUGAGAGUAUAACUGAUAUGUACAAUCAUAUAUAUAUACUGAGACCUAUUGACAUUAAUGCUGAUAUGGCACUGCUCAGAUUUUUUGUAACCCUCUCAAAUAUUCAAGGGACGUCAAACUUCCAUCCUGGGAUAAAGACUGCCUUCACUCGAGCUCUGUGGCUCCAAAGAAGAAAAUAUAAAUUAAACCCCUACAAUGCGACUGCGGAGGCUCGAACCCCUUCCCUCACAUAUGUAAGGGAGUGGUUUUGGUUACC
rnacentral:lncRNA from 1 species